ensembl:lncRNA
GCUAUAUACAGGGGUACCAGUACAGAGUCAAUGUGGAGACUAUAUACAGGGGUACUGGUACAGAGUCAAUGUGGAGGCUAUAUACAGGGGGUACCGGUACAGAGUCAAUGUGGAGGCUAUAUACAGGGGGUACCGGUACAGAGUCAAUGUGGAGACUAUAUACAGGGGGUACCGGUACAGAGUCAAUGUGGAGGCUAUAUACAGGGGGUACCAGUACAGAGUCAAUGUGGAGGCUAUAUACAGGGGGUACCAGUACAGAGUCAAUGUGGAGGCUAUAUACAGGGUAUUACGGUACAGAGUCAAUGUGGAGGCUAUAUACAGGGGGUACUGAUACAGAGUCAAUGUGGAGGCUAUAUACAGGGGGUACCGGUACAGAGUCAAUGUGGAGGCUAUAUACAGGGGGUACCGGUACAGAGUCAAUGUGGAGGCUAUAUACAGGGUAUUACGGUACAGAGUCAAUGUGGAGGCUAUAUACAGGGGGUACCGGUACAGAGUCAAUGUGGAGGCUAUAUACAGGGUAUUACGGUACAGAGUCAAUGUGGAGGCUAUAUACAGGGGGUACCGGUACAGAGUCAAUG